rnacentral:rRNA from 1 species
CCUGGCAUCUACAGGGGGAUAACUGAUGGAAACGUCAGCUAAGACCGCAUAGGUGUAGAGAUCGCAUGAACUCUAUAUGAAAAGUGCUACGGGACUGGUAGAUGAUGGACUUAUGGCGCAUUAGCUGGUUGGUAGGGUAACGGCCUACCAAGGCGACGAUGCGUAGCCGACCUGAGAGGGUGACCGGCCACACUGGGACUGAGACACGGCCCAGACUCCUACGGGAGGCAGCAGUAGGGAAUUUUCGGCAAUGGGGGGAACCCUGACCGAGCAACGCCGCGUGAAGGAAGAAGUAAUUCGUUAUGUAAACUUCUGUCAUAGAGGAAGAACGGUGGAUAUAGGGAAUGAUAUCCAAGUGACGGUACUCUAUAAGAAAGCCACGGCUAACUACGUGCCAGCAGCCGCGGUAAUACGUAGGUGGCGAGCGUUAUCCGGAAUUAUUGGGCGUAAAGAGGGAGCAGGCGGCACUAAGGGUCUGUGGUGAAAGAUCGAAGCUUAACUUCGGUAAGCCAUGGAAACCGUAGAGCUAGAGUGUGUGAGAGGAUCGUGGAAUUCCAUGUGUAGCGGUGAAAUGCGUAGAUAUAUGGAGGAACACCAGUGGCGAAGGCGACGAUCUGGCGCAUAACUGACGCUCAGUCCCGAAAGCGUGGGGAGCAAAUAGGAUUAGAUACCCUAGUAGUCCACGCCGUAAACGAUGAAUACUAAGUGUUGGGAGUCAAAUCUCAGUGCUGCAG